GAUUUCUGGCACGAUGCGCCUGGCCCGCCACGGUUACGUGUGUGAGUGCCGGGUCGGAUCUGCCAUCCUUCCAGAGAACGGUCCUACCCUUCACUGGGCCGGGGCCGCACAUCUGGAUCGUUUACUUUGAAAAAAUUAGAGUGUUUCAAGCAGGCGACUCGCUGUGAAUACAUUAGCAUGGAAUAAUGACUUAGGACUUCGGUUCUAUUUUGUUGGUUUCUAGGACUGAAGUAAUGAUUGAUAGGGAUAGUUGGGGGUGCUAGUAUUCAUCGGCCAGAGGUGAAAUUCUUGGAUUCGAUGAAGACUAACUAAUGCGAAAGCAUU
rnacentral:rRNA from 1 species